rnacentral:misc_RNA from 1 species
GAUGUUGGACGUUGUCUGUGAAAGGACAGGUCUGGAACGCGUGGGCGCCGCCGCCGGACCACGAGCGUAGCAAGACGCAAGUCAUCGCUCGGUGGGUUCACACGGUGGACGGCUGUCUACAGAUGCUGGGCAACACCUGCGUCGAAAGGACUAUACCAAAGUUUGGCCUCGGAUCAGGCGGGGAUACCCGCUGAACUUAA